UUUCUUUCAUGAGGUUAAAUGAAGAUUUUGGUGGUAUACUUUGACAUUCUGGGAAGAUUGUUUACUGUGAAACCUUAAUACCACUCAAACAGCAGACUGAAGAAACACAGCUGCAAUCACCAUCAUCCGACCCUUCUGAUAAGGGUUUAGACAAUGAAAUGAAAUGAACGGUUAUCUGAUCAUCAAGAUUUUUCUAUAAAUUACAUUUGCAUACCAGUUUAGUGACAGAUACCAGAUUCUAAUGAAAAAGUGUAAUGUAAUCUGUCUGAGUUCCAGGAUUUUUUGUUAAUAAAGCCACGCCAUGUUGAUUCCACCCCAAUUUAAUCUCUGUCUAGUAUUGCUACAUUUUAAUCACUUGCUGUUAUGUAAGGCUUUUAAAUAUAUUCAGCAUGCCAUAAAGAUUUGAGGAACUCUAUAACAACACUGAAUGUGCUCCGGCUGAAUAAAUCCAGCCUAAUGCAAGCAUUUAAGUUCAGUACCCAACAUGGAAAAGGUAAGAGCUGUUUUUAAAGCUGGGGAGAAGGAAUCAUUUCGUCGCAAUAAAAAGGAAGCUCUGUCAGAAAAAAAACAAACCCUCUUAGUACAGCAAAAAAACCUGCAGGAAGUUCUUAGAAUUUUAUUCCUGGAAAACAUCUGAAGCGACAUGUGCGUAAUGUCUGCUUAAUGGCCUAACAAGGAAGCUACAACUCUCGUGUUUCACAGACUCGUGAGUCUAGAAAAUGGACCAACUCCACAGUGAGACAUCCCAAGCAUAUGGACCAGUGAGCCAAAGCUUGGCUCAGGAGUUAUGUCUGUAAUUUUCUGGAUUGGUGUUGUUUACAUCGUAAUAUCUGACAAACUAGUUAGAAACUGGCUGCGAAGACACCAGUUGCUCUUCUGUAAUGUGUACUCAGCACAUGUAGCUGCGGAUGCCACUUGAUGAGAGAACAUGAUGUUCUUGAAAAUGAAUAAAAUAUCUACCUUAUUAAACUUUCUCUCAAGGCUUCAGAUUAUGUGCUUUCACCCAGUUUUAGUCAAAUGACUUGUGUGUGUUGUGUGCAGAGACAGCAGCCAGUUAGCAAAGCUUAGCUUAGCCUGUUUAUGCUAAUUAGGCUAUGGAUACCGCUAAAACGGAAUUUGUAAGCAUUUACUCUUUUUUUCAUGUACUAAAGCAAUAAGAUGAGUAGGUUAAUUUGUGAGUCAUGAAGUCAGAAUUUUAUUUACUUAUUUUUUUUGUAUUUGCGCUAACUGGCUACUUAGCUUUAGAUUUAUCAUAUGAAGAAAGUUUUGCUCUCAUCUACUAAGUCACCACUUUAAAAAGGUGAUUUAAUUAGAUCUGUUGGUUUCCUAAGAUUUUUCAGCUAUUGCUCAGAAAACCCAAAAGUUAAUGGCGGAUUCUCCAGCCCAGAAGAGAGAAGACACGACACAAGUUUGUUUGCGCUCUUCCUGAAUAUCAAAUCCCACAAAAUGUGCAGUCAUGCAGUUGGUGAGGUUUGCUUACAAUGACUCAUGUAUUGACACAGGCAUUCAGAGCCAAUUUAUUUAAGCUUUUCAAUAAUAUCAACUCUGACAGGUGUUAUUGUCUGUCUACUGACUUCGUCUCAACGGGAUCGUGACACUGAGACAUGGGAGGGUGGGGUGGAGUGUAAAAAAAGGGGGCACAUUCCCCCUACUGCCUUUCUCCCCUUCUCAUGGCAGUUCCUGAUGAAAAGAAAUUUUGAACCAGUCUGCAGAAACUUGUAGACCAUUAGUGCCCUCUUCUGGAAGAGGCAGCCCAAUAUAUAGAUAUGUGUCUUUUUUUUCUCUUGUAUUUUCAUUAUUCAUGUUAAUCUUCUUUCCCUCCCAGUUUUCUUUUCUCACACAGUCUGUUCACAGCUCUACCAAAAGUGCUUCC